rnacentral:rRNA from 1 species
UACGUAGGGUGCAAGCGUUUAAUCGGAAUUACUGGGCGUAAAGCGUGCGCAGGCGGUUUUGUAAGUUUUGUCGUGAAAUCCCUGGGCUCAACCUGGGAAUGGCGAUGAAGACUGCAAGGCUAGAAUCUGGCAGAGGGGGGGUAGAAUUCCACGUGUAGCAGUGAAAUGCGUAGAGAUCGGGAGGAACACCAGUGGCGAAGGCGACUACCUGGACCAGCACUGACACUGAGGCACGAAAAGCGUGGGGGAGCAAACAGG